rnacentral:rRNA from 1 species
AACCUGGUUGAUCCUGCCAGUAGUCAUAUGCUUGUCUCAAAGACUAAGCCAUGCAUGUCUAAGUAUAAGUGUUAUACAGCGAAACUGCGAAUGGCUCAUUAAAACAGUUAUAGUUUAUUUGAUAAUCGAAUUUACAUGGAUAACCGUGGUAAUUCUAGAGCUAAUACAUGCUGCAAUGCCCGACUUUGCGGAAGGGCGGUAUUUAUUAGAUAACAAGCCAAUAUUCCUUGUGUCUAUUGUGGUGACUCAUAAUAACUGAUCGAAUCGCAAGGCCUACGGCCGCGAUAAGUCAUUCAAGUUUCUGCCCCAUCAGCUUUCGAUGGUAGUGUAUUGGACUACCAUGGCGUUUACGGGUAACGGAGGAUUAGGGUUCGAUUCCGGAGAGGGAGCCUGAGAAACGGCUACCACAUCUAAGGAAGGCAGCAGGCGCGUAAAUUACCCAAUCCUGACUCAGGGAGGUAGUGACAAGAAAUAACGGACCGUUAGCCUUCGGGCGGCGGGACUGCAAUGAGCCGAAUUUACACCCCUUAGCGAGGACCAAUUGGAGGGCAAGUCUGGUGCCAGCAGCCGCGGUAAUUCCAGCUCCAAUAGC